rnacentral:sRNA from 1 species
GAAACAAAGCGAAAGCGCCAGGGCGAAAUUAAUAUUUGCUUACAAAAUCAGGCGCAAAGUUGACCCAGAUAUAUACGUAUAUACAUAUACUGAGUGUGUGUAAAUGUGGGCAUAUCUGGAGCUGCAAUCGUUUUUUGCUUCCCAGGAAUAAUUUGCAUAUAUUGCCGCAGCUGGAUGUCUACAAGUGAGGGAGGAACGAGGAUGUAGAUGUGGAUGUGGAUGUGGGAGCAGGCAGCAGAUGCAAGUGAAGGGCUCCAGAAACGAGAAUCAAAAGGGAAUAUAAUACUCGAACAUUACCAACCUGCCAGCAAGUUGCGUUCGAUAACACCCUUUAUUAAAAAAUUGAAAUCGAAAUUUUAACUUGCUCUUCAAUAUAUCCUUUCCUUUCAAACUCUGU